UGAAUACGAGACGCUACGGCGUCGAAGCAGUCUAUGUCAUACUUCCAAGAAAAGCUCGCAAUGUCAUAAACAAAUAAUGCCUGUACCAUAACCGACACAGGUGGGUAGGUAGAGUAUACUAAGGGGCGCGAGAUAACUCUCUCUAAGGAACUCGGCAAAAUGACUCCGUAACUUCGGGAGAAGGAGUGCCUUAUUUAUAAGGUUGCAAUAACAAGAUCCAAGCAACUGUUUAUCAAAAACACAGGUCUCCGCUAAGUCGUAAGACGAUGUAUGGGGGCUGACGCCUGCCCAGUGCCAGAAGGUUAAAGAAGUUGGUUAGCAUUCGCGAAGCUGAUAACUGAAGCCCUGGUGAACGGCGGCCGUAACUAUAACGGUCCUAAGGUAGCGAAAUUCCUUGUCGGGUAAGUUCCGACCCGCACGAAAGGCGUAAUGAUUUGGAUACUGUCUCGGAGAGGGGCUCGGUGAAAUAGACUUGUCUGUGAAGAUGCGGACUACCUGCACCUGGACAGAAAGACCCUAUGAAGCUUUACUGUAACUUGAAAUUGAAAUUGGACUUUAUUUGCGCAGCAUAGGUGGGAGGCGUUGAGAGUAUUCUUGCGGGAAUAUUGGAGCCAUCAGUGAGAUACCACUCUUGUAAUGUUAGAUUUCUAACUUUGGAUCAUUAUCUGGUCAAAGAACAGUUUCAGGCGGGCAGUUUGACUGGGGCGGUCGCCUCCCAAAUGGUAGCGGAGGCGUACAAAGGUUUCCUCUGAACGGGUAGAAAUCGUAUCUAGAGUGUAAAGGCAUAAGGAAGCUUGACUGUGAGACGUACAAGUCGAGCAGGGACGAAAGUCGGUCUUAGUGAUCUGACGGUGCUGAGUGGAAAGGCCGUCACUCAACGGAUAAAAGUUACUCUAGGAUAACAGGCUGAUCUCCCCCAAGAGUUCACAUCGACGGGGAGGCUUGGCACCUCGAUGUCGGCUCAUCGCAUCCUGGGGCGGUAGUACGUCCCAAGGGUUGGGCUGUUCGCCCAUGAAAGCGGUACGCGAGCUGGUUCAGAACGUCGUGGGACAGUUCGGUCCAUAUCCGGUGUAGGCGUUAGAAUAUUGAGAGGAGCCUUCUUUAGUACGAGAGGACCGAGAAGGACAUACCUCUGGUGUACCAGUUAUCGUGCCAACGGUAAACGCUGGGUAGCUAUGUAUGGAGAGGAUAACCGCUGAAAGCAUCCAAGUGGGAAGCCCACCUCAAGAUAAGUAUUCUCAU
rnacentral:rRNA from 1 species